rnacentral:lncRNA from 1 species
UUUCCCACCUCAACGUGAAUAUGGUAGCACUCGUAAAUAAGAGCUACAUCUAUCUAGCAUCUGUUGACAGCUACUCAUCAAAGUUUCACCCAUUAUGAAACACAAAUAUUUAAUUAUAGCUCGAUACUCGAUUUUGUCCAUUUUCACAAAAACGUUCACAUCCACUCACUCAAACGACUGUUAAAUAAGAACUGCAAGUCCAAAAUGGCUGAAACUUUGGUGAGUAACUAGGGGUGUCUACAGGGGUGGGGGUGUACCCCACCUCAAUCGAGAAAUAAAAAAAAUCAUAAAUAUUGAGAAAAAAAAUUAGCGUCCAUCCCCAAUUCAAUUUAAGAAGGUCUUUUUCUCACAAAAAGGUAAAUGAAGAAAAACAUUUUUCUCUAGCCCCCCUUCAGUUCGCCCCUGGUAACUGUUAACACAUGGUAAAUAGAAGUGAUUAAAUAUUUUAAUGCUUUAGGUCGAAACAAUCAGUAUCUUUUAAUUGAAAAAGGUUCUUAUUUCAGUAUUAAAAUUUUGAUGGUGAUGCACAUUACGACACGUGACUUACAAAAAAAAGAAGAGAAAAUUAUAUAUUGAAAAAUAAAAUAAAUUGUAUAUGCAACAACAAGCUGAAAAAUCGCAAGGAUGGUUCUCCUCUGAGGAAUUUUUUCCCCAAGAUUAGGUUCAUAACGCUGGAUGGCUAUGAACAGCAGGGAUGUCGCAAAAGUUAUGAAAACAAAGUUCCUAGGUACUGUCAUGGUAUUUGUAGUUAUGUCAAAUGAGGGCAAUGUCAUUUCAUGGUACAUCUUCAAAAAAAAGUUAGUACUGGGGUCAGCUUCAAGUGAUGGAUUCUGUGGUGCUUCUCUGGAUCAAGGAUGACACUGGCAAUAGGACCCUACAGUAUUUGUAAUUGUAAAGAGUAAUGAACAUUUUAGAGGUAGGAAAAGUUCAGAAAUGGAAUAUAUAUAUUUGAAUUGUAGCUACUCUUCCUGACUCUGAAAUAUGAUUUACUUAUUACAGUGAGUCAAAUAAUCGACUUAAUUAUGUUUCAUUUCGAAACAUUUCCACAUAACCAUACUUUGCUAAUUUAUUAAAUAUUCUAUAAUAAAAGUAAAAGAUAAACUGAAAAAAUGAAUCAAAAUUGAACUUUUUUUUGACAGUAAAUCUUUUUAUAUUGUAAUUCAAUGUUUAUUUUUUGCUAUAAUAUAUUCUGUCAUAAAGUACCGGGAAUUGAUAAUUUCAAUUGUCUGUCAUUAUGAUAUCAAGUUUGAGCGCAAUUUGUAAACCAGUUUGCUUGCAACAGCUGGAUGAGUUAGUCUGCCUCACUAUUGCUCCACGAUUUUUACAAUAAACGAAAUGAUUAAACAAAGAGUUUGCCUUAAAUGUUGUUUUUGCUAACGAAAUUUUAUCUGCUGACGCGUUGAGAAUGUUAGAAAAAGCUUUUUGGUGAAUCAGUUCUAUCAAAAACCCGUGCAUAUGAGUGGUGCAAAGCGUUCAAGGAAGUCCGUGAAGUCAAAAGUCAAUGUGAUACUCAUUAUUGUUUUCUUUGAUAUCUGCCGUCUGGUACAUCAUGAAUUCGUUUCAAAGGGACAAACGGUCAAUAAGAAGUACUAUUUGGGAGUACUAAGGCUUUUGCAUGAGAAAAUUCAUCAAAAACGGUCAGAAUUAUGGAAGAACAACUCGUGGAUUUUACACGACGAUAACAUCGUACGAUUGUGAGCAAAUUCAAAGCCAAACACGCAAUAAAUACCAUCGAUCAACCACCAUAUUCACCUGAUUUAGCUCUGUGGGACUUGAUUUGCCCCCCCAAACUUAAAUUGCCUCUCCGUGGAACCCGUUUUGAGUCUAUUGAAUCCAUAAAACAAAAUUUGUGGAAGGAGCCUAAGCCCAUGCCAAAAAAGUGGAUACAAAAAAUGUUUUGAGGACUAGAAAAAACGUUAGCAAAUGUGUAUUGCAUCCAAUGGAGAUGACUUUAAAGGCAACAAAAUCAAUUUUAAUGAUUAAAUGUGAAAUUUGUGUUCUAUUAAACAAUUCCCUGUACUUUUUUGACAGAAUAUAAUUAAUGCAAUUGAAAAUAAAUAUUAGCUUCCAUAAAUGUAUGAUCCUCCAUUGUUAAUAUCUUAAAUUUUCAAUAUACAUAGUGUUAUUUCAUUUCAAAAUUUGGCUCUGAAUCUAAAUUUUGUAGAUAUUUUACUAUAUAUCAUAUUCUCAAAGUCACGAAGACUUUCAUGGAUGAGUUCUCUAUAUUGAUAUAUAACUAUAGUACAAUCCUUGAUGCAAUUAGGGAUUUCAAUUUCUCUUCAUGGGAUUUUGAUGAAGAAAAUGACUGUGUAUAAAUCCCAAUGAUUCUUCGUAACAAACCAUAGCAUUAGUAAUAUCGUGAUUCCUUCCAAAUGCUUAUAAAACCUACGUAUUAAAGUUUAAACAAUUGUGUUUGUCCUGUUGAUAUUUUGUUGUUUCUAAUCUAUUAAAUCUCGAAUACAAUAAUAAAAAUCCCAAUAAAAACCUA